ensembl:lncRNA
UCCGCAUGCGCAACAGGGUGAGGUGGGGGGUGCGGCAGAGACAGCUGUGGAGACAGCCCGCGUUCCCGGCAUGCCCCGGGGCGGCGGGGUUGGCUCUAACGAAUUUGAAUGAGGAGCCUCAGCGCUUUCGGCGCCAUUUUCGAGUGAUGCCUGAUCUCAUCAAUCUAGCGGGACGGAAGGGAUAACCUGUCCGAGCGCAGCGCGACGCUAGGAUCGUGCCGAAAAAUCCCCCAAAAAUUAUCAAAAAACAAAAAAAAAAACUUAAAACCGAAGGGCCGUCGACGGAGCUUUCGCCAGAUUUGGCGCAGACGAUUUUAACCUUUAGAAGAGAACCAAUUCUGGAAAACAACCUAAGUUUCUUUGACUGAAUGCUGGCAUAAUGCAUUGGAACACAAUAGAGGAUUAAGGUAUACUAAUGUGGUUUUUUGUUUUUUGUUGUUUUAAGUCAAGGUUUUAACUCUACAGCCAGCCUGAAAGUUGCUUUGUAUCCUAAGCUAGCCUGAAACUACUAAUUUUCCUGCCCUGACCUCCUUAGUGCUGAUAUUGUAAAUAUGUGUCAGUGUGUCUGCUUUGUACUAAUGAAUUUUCAGAGCCUAUUAUAUGUCUUUGUAAUGUAAUUGGACUUGAUAGUAAUGCUGAAACAUUUAAGUGAUCUAAAAUUAAUAAAUAAAGAAUAAACAGAAAUCUUGUAAAUUAGCUGAAUCUAAGUGUCUUGCUUGUUAAAAUUCAGAUUUUUAAGUAUAUAGCUGAUGUUUUUAUAGUGCAGUAGUAGAUUCACCUGAAUUUAUCCCCCCCCCCAAAGUAUACAUGAUGUUUUGUUUUCCAUUUUCCUAAGGGUGUUACUACAGUGCUAUGUAAGGUAUUUAAUUAUGUGGUGGACUUUAUUCUUUCAAAAUGAAGUGUUUAAGUCAAGUGGAAUUUGGUACUUGGCUAUUUGACGAGUCGAGAAGUAGAGCCUAAAAAUGAGAUAAGAUUAAUGAAAAUAUUUUAAGAAAAAUUGAAAAUAUUCCAAUUAACUGUCCUAACCAAAAGUCACAAUUUGGUUGAAACUGAGAAACCUACUUUCUUGAGCAGAAACAGGUAUCUUACUCAUAGAUACUCAGAACAUUGUUAAUAUCAAAAGUUGACAGUAGUCUAAUGAUAAAAAUUAUAGAUUGCUUAAACUUCUGGUGACUAUUGUCUUAACCUCCAAAAUAUUUGUCAUAGACCAUUUUUCUAAUGCUUUAUUUUACUUGAUUUUUAUAGUUUUACUUGAGCAUUUCAGAUAAUAUUCAGCUUAAACAAUUUUUGUUUUCUAGAUGGUAUAAUAAAAAUGAAUUUACGGAACAUUAUUACUAAAUAUUACUUGAUUAGUUUUUUCUAGUGAAGUGUUAACUAUAAGUUUUAGUAAUACUUGCUAAAUAGAAUGAGAGUUGCUAAAAUAUAAUUAAUUUUCUUUAGACUCUUUUAACUAAAAAUAUGUAAGUUACAAAUAGAAAAUCCCAAAGACUUGUUUUCUUAAGAAGUAUAAUUUAAUCUUAAGAGUAAAUUAUAAUUUUCCUGCUCAUAAAACUGCUUUUAACUUUAAAUAGUGUAAACAUUUUAGAACAAAUUCCCAGGUGUGUUUAAGAAUGCUGGAAUAUUGAAAUAAAUAUUAAAAUACUAAAAUACUGGAAUUUUAUACUUUUAUAUUAUAGACAAUCCAGAAAUGCAUAUCUCUUAAUAGUUGAGGUGAAAUAGAAAUCAGAGUUUAAAUAAGGGUGAAUUUCUGGUACUUUAUGUUACAUUGAUGUCAUAUUAUGUGGUGAUUGUUCCAGAUAAAUACAAAGUAUAGAAUGUCUUUAUAACUUUGAUCUUAAAUAUUAUGACAAAACAGUUUUAAUGGGUGAAAAAUAAAUAAAAAUUUCUCCCCUCUAUCUUAAUAUUAACAUGAAAAUCGAGUACCUGAAAAAUUUGAGGUUUAAUUUAUCACUUUUAAUCCAGAUAGUUGACAGAGCUUUAAUGAGUUAAAUGAGGGAGAAAGCAGUUAUGAGUUUAUAAUAUAGAUAAAGAUUGAAAUGCACAGUUGUUCCAAAGAUUUAUGAUACCUGAGGGUUUAAGAAUUUACUGUUUGAACACAAAUAUUUGACAUUUUCAUGUUACUGUUCUCUCUAAAGUUAUAAACUGGCUUAUGAACAUAGGAAUUUAGCUUAUUAAAUAAUUUAGUAUCUAAAAGCAUUAGUAUAGAUGUUAAAAAUUUUUGUAUUGUUGGUUAUUUCUGAUAGAGUAAGAAACCUUAACUUGGUUAAUAAUAAAAGCUGUUACAGUUAUGUAUGACUAGGUAUUCUUUAACCACCCUUUAAAGGACAUGUUAUAGAUACUUCAAAUUUUCGAAUCUUUCCCAAUCUCUUUUAAUACAUAGUUUACUAGAUAACAAUUUGAGGAAAGAGAUUUAUUGUGUUGAUUUAAAUUUCUUGAUUAAACUUUUUUCCCAGUGAUAGAAUUUUAUUUGGAAUACAAUAUUUAUACUUUCAGUUAGGCAUAAUCAGGGUUCCAGGAAAAAUAAUUGCCCAUAAAGUACAGCUGUACUAUCAUUGUUUCUAUCUUACUGAAGUAUUUACCUUAGGGUAAAAAGAAUACUUUAAUAAACUAGGCUGGGGGUAAUUUAACAUCUGUUGAUGAAGGGCCUUAAAUUAUUAACUGUGAUUAUAUAAUGCUACUUCAUAAACAUGACUUACAUUUUAAGCUGUUUGUCAGUGGAAUCAAGUUUUCUUGGAUAGAGAUUUUAAAGUAUUGCAAAGAUGUUCUAAAUAAUAGACACAAAUAACAAAUAUUUUAAUUGCUUAUUUGAAGCAGUUUCCUACAUGUAUAUAUUUUGUGGUUUUCUAAAGGUAACAAAUAUUCCUAAUUAAUUUGUAUUAUUUUUCUUCAAGUAAGGACUAAUGAAUCAGAACUGAUGCUUUCUGAUCAACAUUUUUUCAAUAGGCAAUAUUUAAUUAAUUUUAAGGCUUUACAUUUUUUAAAAAGAAUGGCUUUGAAGUAGUUUUUCUGUUCUCAGCACUAUGAACCACACUUUGGACAUUUAAUGUUACUUUGAUAUCAUGGUAGUUAGAAUCACUUGAAAGAAAACAUAUGGCAUGUUUCAAAUGUGAUUUCUGUAAUUGAUCACUCCAUUACUAUUUCUGUAUGUCUAAAUUUUAUAAAUUAAAUUUUAAAUUCCUUUCAUACUAAAUAAAUAUAUUCAAAAUUACCUUGUUAAUCCGGUGGGGUUUUUUAUGUAUAUGUUUUAUUUCUAGCAUUCGUCAUUGACAACAAAGUGGAAAAGUUUUUUAUUGUUUUUGAUAAAAGAUUAUAGUUUUUGCAGAAUACCUAAAUUUACUAUAUUGCCACUAUUUAACACUUUUAAUUUUUUAACCUUAAAACUAACAUUUAAGACUAGUUAUUAUUAAAUUUAAUGUCUUGUUCUAAUCUGUGUUGAUUUUUUUUAAUAACAUCCAAACUUUGUUUUAUAUAUUUCUGAGGCAAUGCUUAAAGGGUUGAAAGAUGACUUGCAUUUUAAGUUUUCAAUCUGUAGACAGCAUUUUCUUAUAUUUAAAGCAUUUUAGCAGAAUAAGCAUUAGUAUUUUAAGCUUAACUAAGGCUUUACCUCUAAUACACAUAAUAUAUUUUUAAGAUAGAUUACACCUAGAAGUUUUUGGUUAGUUGUGAUUUUUAAAACUUUAUUUUAUUAUUGUGUGUAUGGUAGGGGUGGUGUAGAAUUCACAGAGCAGCCUUGUAUCAAGUCUCUCCCUGCACCUCAGUGUGUUCCAGGGUUGAAAUUCACAGAUUGUUAGGCCUGCAUAGGAGGCACUCCUACCCACUGAGCCAUAUUGCCAGCCUCAGUUAUGGUUUUUUGUUAACUCUUUUAGGCUAGGUCUAGGAAGUAUUGUAGCUUGGUGGUAGAGCACUUGGAUGGCAUGCCACAGCCCCAGAACAAUUCCUGAACCCCAAGGGGGGGACCAUUGGCUGGACCCUUAAUACUUUAUUAUUUGCUGUUCUAAAGAUUGAACCAAAGGUCUUGUACUAGCAUACUGUCUACCGCUGAGCUAUAAUACCCAGUGCUUGAAACUCAGGGUUUGGGUUUUUUGUUGGUUUGUUUGCUUUUUUUUUUUUUUUUUUUUUUUUUUUUUAGGGGGGUUUUGUUUUGUUUUGUUUUUCUAAUAGUACCUAAGUCAGCAUAUGAUAGUGACUCAGUACAUUAUGCCUGGGAGGGAACUAGGGAUAUUUUAUGAGUAAAAGUACAAUUUUAUUUCUUGAUUGGAAUUUGUACAACUUAAGGAAGUCUGUGCAUUCACUCUUGACAAAUGCUUAAAACUCUUCAGAGAGUUUUGGUAAUUGAGUAGUUAAAUGUAGCCUUAGAAGCUGAAAUUGCUAUGUGUUAUUAUCUUUUUUUUUUUAGAUAUGUUGUAGGUUCCCUCUCUAACCAAAAUAUUAGUUUUGUCUUUUCUCUCCACCUUACCCUUUUUAAAUUCCUUCUUAAAUAAUGAUACAAAUGGACUUGGCAAGUGAAUUGUUCUGAAGCACUUUCCUUGGAGUUAGUUGCAUAUGCGUUUUAAAUAGUAGGAGCAUCAGUGGUGAAGAAGCAAGUGUCACCACCAUAGCAGUUGUUCUUGUCCCUUAUAAGAACUGGAAUUAGGUGGUCACUGCUGCUUGUCAGCUGGCUGUUCUGCAAAGUGCUCAGUGUGUGAUAAUAAUUUUGCACCCAAGUGGAAAGGUUUUCCAUGUUUGGUUUGCAGACUAGUCUCUUUGAAAGAUACUUUCUUCCCAGUGUGGCCUUAAGAGGAUAGUAAAUAUUUGUGGUUCUUGGACUGUUUUUUUUUUAAACCGUUUAUUCAGUGCUGUUAUAUUCACUUUUCAUUCAGGAAAUUUCACCUGUUAAGAGUUGAAAAAUUCUAAAAGUACGUGUGCUGUUCCAUACUUUUUACUUUUAAGCUAAUAAAAUAGUAAAACUUACUAGUAGUUAAGUUUCUGAUGCCACAAAUUCAGAUUCAUAUGUGAGAAAGAAAAGUUGUGGCCAUACAGGAAUAUUUCUUCCUCUUUGAGGACAUACCAUUUUCUUUUUAUCGCCUCAUAUAAAGAAGGCUGAAUUAUUGUUAGUUUUACUAUAAUAAAAAUAUUCUAUACUUCAUGUUGUCAGUAAUUGGAACCAACAUACACCAUAGGUGAAAACCCUUUAACUAUUUUAUAUUUCUAGUCAUACUUUAUGAGUUCUUAACAUACCAUAUCAAAUUCUACAUCUUUUAGAAAUUACUUUGUAAUUUCAAGUAAUAUAGUUUUAUAGACGUGUAUACUUCUAUUUGCACUAACUUGCAUUAUCUACAUAAGUUUUUCUCCCCCUUUAUCUGUAUAAUUACAAUUCUAGGUAAGUGAAUAUUGGCUCUCUGUUAAAGUUCUGGUUUCAUUUAUAAGACUUUGGUAGAAAAUUAAAAGUGACGUUUAGUUUUGUGUCAGUGUUUGCCAUUAUAUUUUUAAAAGAUAACCAUCAUUGCUCCUUGGUUAUCAUCAUUAAAAUCACUUAUAUUCUUGGUUGUGAGCCUAGCCUUUAACAGCUGGGCCAUUUCUCCAGCCUUAAAAUCGCUUCUGAUCCAUCCCCAUGUGCUUAAUGUUUGCUUUACCAGUCAUAGUAAACUCAGAAUAUCAUUUCUUUGGUAUUGCUAACAAAAAUGGCUUUUGUCACAUUGUGCGUUUAUUUAUCUGAAUUAAUAAUUGAGACCACAGUCUAUUCUGGCAUUAUGAAAUUAUAAAUUGAAAUUGCUUUUUUAGGCUACUACUGUUUUUAUGUUGAUGUAAUUUGACAGAAAGGCAUAAUAAUACUACACAUGCUUAACCUAAAAGUUAGAUGCAUAAUCCUCUGUUAAAAAUAUCUGCCACCCUGAUUGACUCCUGCUGAAUGUCUGUGGACUGACUACUAGAAUGAUCUAAAAUAAAGCAUUUUUCCUGACCUGCUUAAUUAAAAUUGUGGUCCUAGAUGUCCAGAAUUUAUGCCUUUUACAAGGUCUAAAGGAUUCCCCCCCCCCACCGCCCCUUAAAGGAACACCACAAUAAAUGAGGUGGGGCGGAAAGGACUGUUCAUACCAAAUCAUGACAUCUGGUUCAUCCACCAUAUCUCAGCUAUUGGUUAUCUUGGAUCUAACAAAGUUCAGUAUCUAAUUAGGAAUCUUAUCAUUUCUACAGCACUUCUAAGUGUUGGUAUUUCCUUAGUCAUAUGAAGAACAAUCUGUUUUCAGAACUUUUAUUUUUGUGAAAUGUUUUGGGACAAAUUUUGACCCUAUGUUAAUGUUAUACACACUUGAGAGCAGUUGGAUGGAGAGAUGGCUCAACUGUUAAGAGAGAGCACUUAUUGCUCCUACAGAGGACCCAGGUUCAGUUCCCUGAACCCACAUGGCAGCUCACAGCCCAAGUUGUAGGAAAUCUGACACCUUCUUCUGUGGGCACCAGCCAUGCAAAUAGCAUUCAGACAUUCAUGCAGGUAAAGCACCCAUAUAUAUACAAUAGAUGUCAAUAAUAAGAUAAAAACUAAACAUUAAAAAAUGUUCAUUUCUACACAGAAGUAGGUAUUUUUCUUAAAUGUAUUUUCAAAUGUUGGGGAAAAUACAAGUUUUUCUCUAGUUUGUGGAGCACUUGGAAAUGUUAUAAUACAGUUGAAGUUAUAGUAGACCCCCAUUACACAAUGUGACAUAGUUAUACUGCAUAGCCAUUAAAAUAAGAGUUGUGUAUAUUAUUCUGGAUGACUGUACUCAGCAAAAAAUUAACCUUUGCGGAAAGUAACAUAUGUGUAUAACAGUUAAAUUUGUAGUUAUAGUGUAAAAAAACAUGCAUAGGAAGUAAAUACCAAAUUCAAGAUUGUAGUUACAUCCUAAAGGAAUGCGACUAGGGCUUGGCACAUCAGGAUCUAGUGUAUAAUUGGGAUAUUGUUUAACACUUCAAUAGAGCUGGAUUUGGGGUGGAGCUUCAUGUUAAAGUAUAGAUUUCAUGUUGGCAUUAUUGAAGGGGAUUGGUGAAUUUUGAAAUAAAAAGAAAUGCACCCUUUUGUGAGAAAGUAAUCUGCAAUAAAUAUGCACUAGGAAUGUUCUGGUAAAAGCAUAAAAGAUUUUGUGUAUUCUUUCAAUAAGUAAUUGUGUGUAGUUAUGUUUGCAUAUUCCAGUAAUCCGGCACUUGGGAAGAUGAGACAAGAGGAUCCCAAGUUUAAGGCCAGGCAGGGCCUUAUUAACAAGACUGUCUCAAAUAAUAGGAACACAGUAUAUAAUGUCUCAAAGAAAUAAAAUAUUGUGACUAACUAAAGUUACUAGGAUGUUUUAAAGGCUGGUCUGUAGUAUAUUCCUGCUAUGGUUCAAGGGCUCUACUUUCUUUAUCCUUUCUUUAUCACUACUUUCAGUUAUUUUUUGCUUCAGGCAAUUUUUGAACAAUAUUUUGUUGUGGUCAUCUCAUAAUGUUUUAUUCCCACUGAUUUUUUUUUCAAUGCAUUUUAAGCUCUUUGUGGUUUUCUAUAUUGUAUUAGAGUUCUUGUAAUAGGGAAGUGUGUAGACUUUGUGUGUGGAGGUGUGCUGUGGAUGGAGAGAAGAAAGGGAAAUAUCUUGGGAUGUGAUCUGGAAUUAAUGUAAAAUACUUGGAAUUUUGUGUUAUCCUCAGAACUCCGCAUACCCCAAGUUAGCAGUGUUAGCUACACUUGACAUACAUGAGUUUUAAAUAAUCAGAAAGUAGUUUUACUGGGAAAGCACAUUUUGCAGACUUAAUGACAAUGCACUGAAUUGAAAUUACAAACACUACUGCUGGUAAAUUGUAAUCUGUGAUUCUAUGUGUAAGAAUCAGAAAACAAUGAUUGCUGACAUGAGUUGAAAAUGUUUUUGCAUCUGUAAUAAGCUCAAAUUUUAAAGUCUUCAUUCUUUUUUUCAUAGGUUUAACAAUGCUAAAAUGAAGAUAUUACUAGAACAGCCCUCUAAAUAGCCCAACAAUUAUUUUGUAAGUAUUAGCUUCCAGUUCCCUCCUCAGUGACCCACCACCAUUACUACAAAAACUUACUAUUUGCUGUCAUGUUUCCAUUCACUUCUGAUUAUUUUCUGUCUAUCCUAGAAUAGCUUAAGUCUCCCUCAGCUCUAUAUUCGUUAAUGUUUGAUUUUACUUUAGUUUAGAACAAGAAUGAUUUCAUUGCUGUAGGUUACUUUACUAGUGUGGAAAGUAUUUUCUAGAAAGGCUCUGUUAUCUCCAAGUCUGAGAAUCACAAUAUUAAAUCAUUUCUCCAAAGUUUAAAAAUAACUAAAGAUUUUUUUAAGGCUUACAUAUUUUUAUUUUAUGUGGGUUUGACUGCAUAUACAUGUGUACUGUGCCUGGUGUCCGUGGAGGCCAGAAGAGGGCAAUGGAUCCCCUGGAACUGGAGUUCUAAGGUGUUGGUUGUGUACCACCAUAUGGGUGCUGGGAACCCUGGUAUCUACAAGAACAAGAAGUACUCUUAACCAGGAGCCAUCCAUCUUUCCAGUCCUAGUAAUGGUAUUUUUUAUUAUCAUUAUUCAAGUUUAUUGAUCUUGCAGUUUUAUAGCUUGAAAGUAGCCUCUUGAAAUAUUUUUUGUUUUUGCAUUAAUUUGAGACUUCUUUGUAAGAAACUUUUUACACUUAGUUUUUAAAACUUCAGGAGAUAGGAAAAACAGCAAAGGCAAUCUCUUUUCUGUCUGUAUGCACACACUUGCACACAUUAAAAUUUUUCCUGAUUUAAAUUUGGAAAACUAUACAUUACAACAGAAUGAUUCUAACAGGUUAGCUGAAAUUAAUAUAUCUCCAGAAAAACUGGCAUAUUAAUAAGUUCAUGUUAAAUACACACAGAUAAUUAUUUCUAUGAAAGUAUUCCAGACUCUGAAAUUAACAAAAGAUUCAUUUCCAUCUACUUCUUGAGCUAAUUUUGCAUCUCUCAAAAAAAAAAAAAAAAACUCAGACUCAAAUUUCUGUUCCUAAGGGUUAGGGGGCCCCAUUUAAAUGAAAGUUAGUGCUUCAGAUGUUUCUCUUCCAUUGUCUCACACAUUGCAUUAGUAAUCCAAAACCCAUGUAUGUUAGAUAACCUUAUGAUCACAGAUGAAUCCUUUCAAGUCAAGUAGUGAGAAUGUGUGUCAUCAACGUUAUGUGUAUCUGUGUUGUUGCGCCCCUCCCAGGGGGGAGGAGGAGAUGGGACUCAAUGGGAGGUAAGAUAAAGAAAUAUUGAAAACUUUGUCUUAUUAGUAGCAAAAUGCUACAGGCUGUUUUUGUUUGUUUUUUCUUGUAAAAGUUUUUCUUGCAUAUUUUUAUCUCUAGGAAAUUAGAAUGAAAACAUUUACAAAACCCUAAAGAAUCCUGUACAGUACAGGCUUGGGUUCCUUAAUUGAACCCUUGGAAACCAACUUCAGCCUUCCUUUAAGUUACUAAAAAUGACAGUUUUCCAGUUGAUACUCUACUCCUACUGUCGGCUCCUACUGUGGCCCACUUUACACGACCCUACAUGGUUUUCUGUGCUUGUGUCUCUCUUUCUUUUACUGUUUAUUUAAUACCAUAUUUUCUUUUAACAUAAUAAUUUCUUUUAAGUUAUUAAUUUUAUGGAUAGUGUAUAAGAAGGGUUUUCGUAGUGGCUUUUUUUUUUUUUUUUUUUUAAUUUCUGUUUUCUUUGCAGUGAUAGAGAUGGAACCCAAGGCUUUAAAGGAAUCUAGACAAGCACUUUACCUCCCUAGCCCUUCAUCUUUGGAAUAUGGAUGUCCUAGAAGUGGCAUAAUGGUGUUAAUAUGUUAGGUGCUCUCAUUUGAAUAAUGGUAGUAUUUUGUACUCAUUUUUCCAAGUUGCAUAAAGAAAUUUUAAGUUUACUUUCCACUUUAAAGUUUUUUUUUUUUUUUUUUUUUUUUUUUUUUUUUUUUUGUAGUUUUGGAGCCUAUCCUGGCACUCGCUCUGGAGGCCAGCCUCAUCUACAGAGCGAGUUCCAGGGCAGCCUAGAGAAACCCUGUCUUAAAAAAAAAACAAAAAAAGAAUAUUACACCCAUCUUUUUAAAUAUAAAACAGAAAAGAUACUAAGAUAUUGACCUAAUAAAGAAACAAAAUAUGAAGAAGAAUUCACAUUUAGUCCUGUCAGUAUUGAUAAUCCUGUAAUCAUUAGAUGACAGAAACCAGUUACUUCCUAAUUCAGGAAACCUACUCAAUGCUAUGCUAGGAAAAAAAUAAAAAGAUAUAACUACUUCCCAUGUAGGAAAUACAUCAGGUUAGCAAGAAAAUAAUGAUACACAAGUAUUGUCAGUUGUUGAAUUAUAUUAUGGGGGUUAAUAUUAGAGAUGAAAAGGAAUGUUUUCAUUAUUGGGGAAGUUAGAGUCGUUGAUAUGGCAGGUGAUGAAAUUUUUUUUGCUUUUAGUAAAAAUUAAUUUUGUAAUUCUAUGUUAUAAAUGGACUGAAAAUUUUGUUAUUUUUAAUUUAUUUGUGAUAUAAAUAUCUUUGUAGUAUAAACUGCUGUUUGUCAUGCCACUAAGGAGAAAAUUUUACCUAUCUUAAGUAGUUUCUUUAAAAGGAAGUGUUUCCUGGGAGUAUAUACCAAACAUAAAAAAAAAAAAAAAGUAGUUACUUAUUUUGGAGUUGAAUUAGUGGUGAAAGGUAGCAGAUACUGUCAUAAUUAAGGGAAGAAAAGGAUGCCUUAGAUACCUACUGAUAAGAUGACUCCCUAUCAAUUUAGUAUGUAAAAAUCUAAUUUCUGAAAGUUAUAUAUUGCUUUAUAGUUCAUAGGCAUCAAAAAAGUUCAGUGUUCUCUUAAGUUUUUUAUUGUUGGAAAAGUAUUGCUUUUGAGAAUUACAGAAGUAUUAACUGAAUGCCAGACAUUCUUUGUCCUCAAAGCCUUUAAUUUUUGAUGUACAAAUGUUUAAUAGAAGGAGUAUUUUAAAUCUUUACCUUUUUACUUAAGCCUUGAUGAUAUUUCUAUUCUCAACAAAAUGGCAAUCUUGAAAUUUAAGUUUUAAUGCAAAAUUAUGGACUCAUUUUUCCCAUUCUGAACAAUUUUUCAGCUUCUACAAAGAUUCAAAUAAUAGAAUUUAUGAAGUUACUUUGGAUAUUAGGAAAGUUAAAACGAGGGUUGGGAAUGUAGUUCAGUUGAUAGAGCUCUAUCUAGAAAGCAUACACUCUGUGUCUGAUGUCCAGCACCAAGGAAACUGUGUAUAGUGGUACACACCUAUAGCCUAUCAGUAGGAGGAGAAGAGAAACAGGAAUUAAGAUCAUCCUUGACAACUUAGUGAAAUUGAGGACAGCCUCAGUUGCAUGAUACCUUGUCUGGAGGGAGAGAAGGAAAGGAGGAAAAGUUAAAAAAAAGUUAUACCACAGUUCUGAAUUUUAGUGGUGUGUAUGUUCCCUCCAAGUUCUUACUUAAAAAUCAACUUCAUAGUAUAGAGAACCUUAUUCUUUGGUCCUCGAUGAGUGUCCCAAAAUAGUUUUUACCUCUUUUCUGAAGGCUGAACAUAUCCAGGUCUUUCUUUGAAUUGUCAAUAGCAUCAGUUGUGGACCAUAAUAUUACUGGUGCUCCACUUUUAUCCUGAUGCAUUUUAUAGCAAGCCCUUUAAAACCAUUUGUAGAGGUAGAGCCAAUGUAGUCAAUGUGGCCAAGGUAAAAGAUUUUUUAUAAAUAAGUUAUUUCUGGACCAGCAACAACACCAACUCUUUGUCAUUAACUGUAUUAGUGUAUGUUGAGCUACAACAUAGUUGCCUGAAACAGUGAGUUUGUCAGAAAUGCAGACCCUACUGAGAAUUUAGGUUGAACAGACAUUUAAUGAACAUGUAGUCACUAUUAAAUGUGCUCAUAUAGGAUUAAGGUAUACGAUUUAAAUGAGAUAGGCAUUUGCCACAUUUUAUCCAAGAGGAACCAGAGCAGAGUCAGUAUACUAGAGUAACUUAGCCAUGAUAAGGACUCAUAAAGGGGAGAAUGCUAGGGUUCUGCCCUCAGAGUCUGUAUUCUGUCAUUAUAUUCUACCAAACUUACCUGUUCCUUAUUAUAUUAAUAAUUAGUUUUUAAAAAUUCAAAAACUGAACCAUUGUUCUGAUCUAGUCAAGAUGAUGUUAUAGUUUAGACAACAUGCCUGAAAUCUAAAUAUUUUAUGAAGUGCAACACUUUAGGGAAACAAGAUGAAUUAAUAUUAGAAGUCUUAUAAGAUAAAACCGUAAAUAUUUCUAAAUAAAAAUAUGAAUGGAAACAAAAGAGGGUUGACGGGGAAAAUUGGACAAUUUGUGAUUUGCUCUAUCAUUUUAAAUUGCUAUUCUGUGAUAUAAAGAAUAUUAAUUUCAGUACUUAAGUAUUCCCAUAUAUUCAUUUGUAUAGUUAAGUUGACUUCUUAAGCAAGACAUUUAUCUAUUUUUAUCUCACUUUCAGAAUGACUUGUUUUUUCUUCUACGAAUAUAAGUAAAAUGCUGAGGUAUAUAAAAAAAGCCAGCAAAAAAAAUUAAGGGUCUCUAGGCCUGAAUAUAAACCACUGAAUUUGAAAUUAUAGCCAUUGUAUAAAGAUACAGAAUAAAAUCUUUUUUUGUAACUUUUAUCUUUAUUCUAAUACAGUAAUUUUCAUACCUUUUCUUUUAGCUGGAGCACUUGAAGGCAGAGAAUUGAGGACUUAAAGACAGUAUGAUAUAUAAAUGACCUAAGGUAUAGGAAUGGAGAAAUGGCAUGGGAUAUACUAGAAGUAGAUUGCUACAUAGCUAGUCCAGUUUGAAUGGAAAAUUUGGUAUGAAAUGAAAUAAUAAAAAUAGUUUUUGUCAAGAGGCAGAGUAAGUCCCUUUUAAUAGUGUCAGGAAAACUAGGUAAUCAUACAAGAAAUACUUUAGUUAGACCUUAUUACCAUGCAUAAAAAUUCAUUCCAAAUAAGUCAAAGACUAAACAAAAAGACUAAAACUGAAACUCUCUUUAGAUAACUUAAAGUUGCUGGCCUGUGGUAGUGCAUUUCUUUAAUCCCAGUGCCACAAGGAGUCAGAGGCAGGCAUAUCUCUGAAUUUUAGGCCAGUUUGGUCUAUGGAGCAAGUUCCGGGACAGCCAGGGCUACACAGAGAAGCCCUGUUUCAAAAAUGAAUUAAUUAAUAGAAAAGUAAAAGCCAACUCCUAUGAGACAUCCUUUAACCUCCAUACAUGUGCACGGUGGUGACAUUCAUACCAUACACAAAUAAAUUUAGUUUAAACACACACAGGAAACUGAGACAUAGGAAAAUACUGUCCCCAGAGAUGGUGUGUCAUGUCUGUAGUGCCAGGUUGUGGGGCAGGGCUGAGGCAGGAGGAUUGCAAGUUUCUGGCCACCCUGGGUUGACUGAGUAGGAUCUGUCUCAAAAGAACACAUUUACAAAGAAAAAUUCCAUAAAGCUCCAAAAUGAGAAUAGAAGUGGGGGCUGAGGAAAUGCGCCAAUGAAUAAAGUGCUGAAUUUGGAUCCUUAGAACCCACAUAAGCCAGCUGCAGUAGCACAUGGUAACAUCAAACAGGAGACCCUAUCUCAAACAAGGUAGAAGGUGAGGCAAAUGCCUGAAGUUGUCUUUUGGCUUCCACUUGUCUACAGUGGUGCACACAUACAUAAAUCAUAAAUAGACAUUUAAAAAAGAAAGGGUUGAAGAAAUACCUUAGAAGCUUAGAGCACUUUCUGCUCUCGUCUUCCCAGCAUACACAUCAGGUGGCUCACAACCUCCUAUAACUGUAGUUCCAAGAGAUUAGACAUUUUAUUCUGACCUCAGGCACUGCCUGCCCAUACAUGGCACAUAUACAAACAGGCACACACACACACACACACACACACACACACACACACACACACACAUAAAUAUAGGAUUUUGUUUGUUUUUGUUUUAAGUAGAGCUGGAGACUAGUGAAGUGCUUGCUGUAUAAGCAAAAAGUCAGUUCAGUGUCCAGCAUCAGGUGGAUCAUGGUAAAUUGGUUAUGAUAACACAUACCUUUAUACCCAAGAAUUACAAAGAGAUUCUAUUCUACUACAUGGCUUUAGAAUAAAUCUUUUAAAAUUUGUAUAAGUGAAGCAACUCGUAUAUAAAUUCCUCUCAACUUCAAUUAUAGGAUAUGGAAAAUUCAGGAGACAGGAUAGAAAGUUAAUUUCUUAGGACUAAGAAUAGGAAGAAUGGACAGUUGGUGUUUAAUGAGUAAGGUAUAUCAGUUGGAAGUGAAAAUUUUCAAGUAAUAGAGUUGGUGAUGUUUGGAAUAUGAAUGCACUUAAUACCACAAAACUGAAAUCCUAAAAAUGCAUAAAGUGCUAAAUUUUGUUACAUAUAUUUGAUCAGUUUUUAGAAAUAAAGGGCAUUUCUUGCUGUGAAUUUUUUUAUUAUUUAUGAAAUACAAGCAUGAAUGUGUAUACUCAUUCUGUUUCAAGUUUGACACUCUUGGUUUAAAAAUAGAUUUUACGCAAAAAGAUUGACUUGAUUUUGAAAUUAUUCAUUUAAUAUUGGAAUAAACACUUAAUGUAUGUACUAUACAGGGACAAAGAACAAUAUAUAGAUGGUGGUGUUGUGUGUGUGUGUGUGUGUGUGUGUGUGUGUGUGUGUGUGUGUGUGUGUGUGUAAGUAACAAUGACUCAUGUAGCUCAGGAUGCCCUCAGACUUACUACAAAGCCAAGGAUGACCUUGAAAUCUUUUUUUUUUUUUUUUGGUUUUUCGAGACUGGGUUUCUCUGUGUAGCUUUGGAGCCUAUCCUGGCGCUCGAUCUGGAGACCAGGCUGGCCUCGAACUCACAGAGAUCCGCCUGCCUCUGCCUCCCGAGUGCUGGAAUUAAAGGUGUGUGCCACCAAUGACCGGCGUGACCUUGAAAUCUUUAUCAUUCCUUUAUCUUCCAAGUGCUGGAAUUUUAAAGAUGAGUUACCAUUGCCUUAAAUCAGCAUGUGAUUUUGAACAGUUAGUUCAUGUUGUGUCUUAUAAUUUAGGUCAUUCUAAAUCUUUUCUAAAGAGAAACUAUAUUUUGUGCACUAUUUUACUGUACCAACUAUAGUAUAACAAUUGGGAUAAUGGUAACAUGAGUAGGUGCUCAAUAAAAUAUUUAAGUGAAAAAUAGCCAUGUAUGUUUAAAAUUUAAUGAGGUAGUAGGUUUGAGGAGAACCUAAAAUUUCAUGUAACUGAUUGUUCUGGUUAGUUUGGCAACUUACAAACUGACAUCUAGAAAGAGGGAAUCUCCAUCAAGGAAUUGCCUACAUCAGAUUGUCCUCUGGACAUGUCUAGUGAGCAUUUUCUUCAUUAAUGCUUGAUGUGGCUUGGCCGAACCCACUGUUGGCAGCCUCACCCCUGGGAAGAUGGUCCUGAGUGGUAUAAGAAAGAAAGCAGGGCACGCCAGUAUGUAGCAUUCUCUAUGGCCUUUGGUUUCAGUUCCUGCUUCCUGUUUCCUGAUUUGUGUUCCUGCCCUAAAUUCAUGAUGGGCAUUAGGUUGUAAGGUAAAAGAAACCCUUUCCUUCCCAAGUUGUUUUUCACAAUGAUGGAAAGCAAACUAGGACACUGAUAAACUGAAGCAUGUGUAGCUAUAUCUUGAAUAGAUGCUUAAAAUCAUGUUAAAACUUCAGGCAAUAAUAGAGAAAUGGUUGAAACAAUAGUUGCUUAUGCACAAAAGUGAUCUGUAUACAUUUUAAUAGUAGAGUAAUAAAACUUAAUGGAAUAUGACUGUGCUUAUAAACAAUUAGAAUGAAUGGAAUAUGACUGUGAUUCCUUCAAACAAGUAGAGAUGGAAGUUUCAUGGUUUGUUUGUACAAAUUUGUCCUAUAAUAGAAAACAGUGUACCUUUAAAGGAAUAGCCAUUUUAAUGAGAAACAAACAAAUGGUCACUUAGGCUUGAGCUACAGGAUUCCUGUUCUAUAUCCUUUUAGGAAACCAAAUUGACAUGUUAUUCUGGGUAAUAUUUAUUAAAUGACACUGAAUUUACAGUAACCAUUCCAAUAUGGAGAUAAAUCUUGAGUAUUUGUGUAUUAAUUGGGGGGAUCUAUAUAAUAUAUUUUGAGGAUAUAUAUGUGUGUGUGUAGACAUACACACAUAAUUGCAUUUAGUAUGAAGUCACUUUUAGUCUUUUUCUAAGUAUUGGUAUAAAUUUCUUGAAACUGAAUUUUUGUGUGUUUUUCCUUAAACAUAAAAGCCUUAUCAUAUGACUUGAGCUUUGAAAGAUGUACUGUUCUGAAUAAGGUAAAAACCAACUUUUAUAACAGCUUCAUUUGUUAAAUACAUUGAAAAGUUUGUCUAGUUAAUAAAUCAUAUUCUUAUUAAGUUGGCCCAGAAAAUGGCUUGAUUUCCUCAUUUUUAUGAUGACUAUAAAUUAUAGCACUGUAUUAAGUACAUAGUAGGCUUUUAUUUAUGAUAUGAACAUAAAUUUUAUUCUACUCAAAGCUUAUAAAAUUGUGCGUUUACCAGUGUUACAUUUUCAAACAUGGAUUUUAUAUAUUCUGCUUUUUCCUAAGAAGAUUCUUUGUAAAUUGCUAUUUAGGUGCUAUUGUGUUUUCAAAAACAAAAAAACCUUGGAGUAAAGUAGCAGCACAUAAUGGUUUGUGGAUUUUGAAAAGGUGCAGGCCAUAUUGUGCUGCCUCAAAAUACAAGGAUCUGAUCUUCUGAAGAAAAUAAAUGUUUUUUAUUCAUAGCUUCUGUGAUAGCAAUGUCAGCAGUGCCUUAGCAGCACGUAAAUAUUGGCGUUAAGAUUCUGAAAUUAUCUCCAGUAUUAACUGUGCUGCUGAAGUAAGGUUGGCCAUACUCUACAACUGUAAUUUAAUGUAUGUGGAUAUUACUGGUGUGUUUUCAAGUUUUUAUGAUUGCAUUUUCUGUAUUUGUGAUUUUGUUUAGUAUAAUAAUGUUAAUAAUAGCUUUCCACAUGUAUUAUAUCUGUUAAUGUUGUGUAACUGGGGGAUGGGAAUGUAGCUCAGUUGGUAGAAUGCUUCUGCCUAGCAUGCACAAAGUCAAAGUCAUGGGUUCCAGCCUCACCACUGCAUACCAGAGAUUUAAGGUCAUCCUCAGCCACAAAGCAAGUAAGACCUAUAUGAGAAUCUUGUCUUUAAAAAAAAGCAUGUAAUUAAUUCUGUAUCUAUAAGGAAUUAGUUCUAGGACUUCUAUGGAUACUUAGAUUUGCAAAUGCUUGAGUGCACUAUGUAAAAUGGUAUAAUGUCUGCUUCUGACUAGUGCAUACAUCCUUAUAUUUAGACUCAUCUCUAAUUGCUUUUAAUGUGUAACGCAAUGUUAUGUUACACAGAUAAAUUGUAUUAUUUAGCUUAUUCCCAUAAUGACAAGAAAAAACCUGUAUAAAGGCAGCACCCCACCCCAAAAAAAUUUUUAAUUGGUUUGAUGUUUUGAGAUAGGGUCUUACUCUAUGGACAAGGCUGGCCUGGAACUCACAUCCACCCACCACUGCUUCUCAAGUGCUUUAACUAGAAGUGUGACACCACACCUGACCGCUGAAAUAGUUUGAAUCUGUGGUUGGUUGAAUCCACAGAUGGAGCAAUGACUGUAACUGGUUUCAGAAUGUAUUUUAAUUGUUGGAUAUCUUCAAGAGUCUCUGAACUACAGUGGUAGAGUAUAUAUAUAUAUCUAGUACAGACAAGUCCUGAGAUCUCUCCCCAGCAUUUCCAUUAAAAGUUUCUUGAAAGAGUUUAGAAGCACUAUAGACCUUAUUUUUAAUGUGUUUUUAUAUUCUAUAUGAAUUUGAAUUCAGAUUAUUACUUCAGAUAGAAAAUAAAUAUUAAUUUCUCUUGAAGUUUUCUUUAUCUUAGAUAAAGUAUAAAAUAUUACAGAUUUUGAACAGAAUUUAGAAGAUAAUCUUUAGUAUAAUGUGUCUAAAUAUUUCAUUUUAAAUGAAGGAGGAAAAACAUUAAAAUAAUGUGUUGAACUUCUAAAUUUUAAAUGUAGGAAAAUCCUAAGAGAUUACCAAUCUUUUCAUUGGGUAACUGAGGAAACAACCCAAAGUUUAGUUUGCAAAAGAUGACAUAAUAAGUUCUUAUGUCUUCUAACUUUACAAUAAUCUACUGUUUUUCUUAUUUUUACUAAAAUAUUUUCUUAAGUUCUUAGCAGAAGUUUGGUUUGUUUGGUUUGGUUUGGUUUUUCAAGACAGGGUUUUUUUUCUGUGUAGUUUUGCAGCCUGUCCUGGCACUUACUCUGUAGACCAGGCUGGCCUUGGACUAACAGAGAUCUGCCUGCCCCUGCCUCACGAGUGCUGAGGAUGUGCGCCACCACUGACUGCCCGGCUGUUAGAAGUUUUUUUAGUAAAUCAACGUAUGAAGGGCUUCUGUACCUUAUUAAUAUUUAACUUCAGAUUUAAGCCAGGUUGUAAUUUAGUUAUUAAUUUUAUAAAUGUAAAUAUGUUCAGAAUAUUUUAAUUACAGUUCACAGGAAAUGUUCUUUUUACUAUCAUGUAUUCCUUAUUUGGAGUGUUUAAGUCAUUAUUAAAAAUGUUAACUGUCAUUACUUUCUUACAAGGAGCAUCUUACCUUUUCAGAUUAAAGGUUCUUAAUGGAUUCUAACUAUUAUAUGCUGUGGGGAUCCUAAAAGUAUUUCAGAGAUAUUUUUCAGAAAUUGUAUUCAAAGGAACUACUUACUCAAUUCUAAUUUAAAAGUAAAAUUAAAUUAGUUUUAACUCAUUUAAUUAAUUAUAAGUCCCACAUUUGAGAGCAAUCACUUUUUUCUAGUGGGGCUGUCCGUAACUAAAGCAGUAAGAGAUACAUAUUGUGGCUAGAAUUUAAAUACUACCUUUUACAUGAAAAUAAUGUUGUUGGUUCUUUUGCACAUCAUUGUGGAGCAUUGAGGUAAGCAUGAAAAUCGGAGUGUGAUCCUUGUAAUCAACAUAAAGAUGAAAUGAGAGAACGAACUCUACAAAAUUAUUCUCUGGUCUCCAUAGAAAUCAUAAUAAAAGUUUUAUCUUAAUCACUGAACUCAACUUUUUUUAUUUUGACUAUUAUAUGAGAAACAAUUAUGAAGUAAUUACAGAUACAUAAUUUAUUCUAUUAAAACAUGCUUGGAAGUAUUCACUUAUAUAGUUUGUCCAAUUUUUUCCACAACAAUCCUAAAAUUAGAUUUCUUUUGCAUAGGUAUAAUCCUAAAAGUGUCAGAGAUGAAGAUUUCUUCUAAAUGGCAAAAAAAAAAACCUGCAUUUUACAUUUGCCAAUGCAUAUUUAUAAUUCAGAUGUAAAAAAGGACUGUUUGUGGCUAGUAUAUUUACAUUCAAUUUUUAAUUCUUGUUUUCAGUUCUAAAAAUGGUUAAAGAAAUUUUUAAAUAAUAUGGCCAGAAAGAAAAUAGUGACACAUCCCUAUGAUAUCAGAACUCGGGAAGUGGAGGCGAGGAGACCAUCAGGAGUUGAAAGUCAUCCUCAGCUCUAACCCAGCCUAAGCAACAAACCAACAAGAACCAAAAUAAUCUUAGUGCAAUCAUAUUAGGUUGUUACCUGUGAUAUAACAUGUGCUGUUUGUUUGAUCCUUGAUCCAGGGGGUGGUGGGGGACUUGUGUUUUGAGCAAGAAUGGCCCCCAUAGGUUCAUGUGUUUGAAUACUUGGUCCUCACUUGGUGUAACUGUUUGGAAGUAUAGGUGUGGCAUAGGAGGAGGUGUGUUACUAGGGGCCUGGCUUUGAAGUCUGAAACAACACUUCCUGGUUAGCUCCCUCUUUGUCUGCUGCUUACACAUAAAGAUGUGAGUUAUCAGCUGCUGUUCCAGUGCCCUGCCAGUCUGCUUGCUGUUGUGAUUGUCAUAGACUCUAACCCUCUGAAAUUGUAAGCCACAAAUUAAACACUUUCUUGUAUAAGUUUGUCUUGGUCUUGGUGUCCCUUCAUAGCAGUAGAAAAGCCACUAAGCCCUGGGUGGUGGUGGCACACGCCUUUAAUCCCAGCACUCAGGAGGCAGUGACAGGUGGAUCUCUGAGAGUUCAAGGCUAGCCUGGUCUGUUCUACAAUAUGGGUUUGGGGGCAGGCUCCAAAGCUACAGAGAAACUUGUCUCCAAAAAAAAAAAAAAAAAAAAAAAAAAAGAGGGCUAGAAAGAUGGCUCAGGUUAAGAGCACUGGCUGCUCUUCCAGAGGUCCUCAGUUCAAUUCCCAGCAACCACAUGAUGGCUCACAACCAUCUCUAAUGAGAUCCUGGUGCCCUCCUAUGACAAGUGUAUACAUAAUAAACAAAUAAAAAUUUAAAAAAAAGAACCAUCACUAAGUGUUACUUUAAUAGUACUUAACUUUUCAUAGAGAAGAACUAGCCACUAUAUACUAAAAUAUACAUUUAAGCAUAUAUUUUAAAUUUAUUUGUACUUGCUUGGAAAUCUAGAGUUAAUUUCCAUCUUUGUAACUAAUUUUGAGACAAAAAUAGUUAGUAGCGGUAGCAUGAAUUCUAAUUGUUUUUAAUAAUAAAAGCUCAGGGUCAGAUAUUGGAGUUAAAGAUCAGAGAAGCACAAUAGCAAGCUACUAGACAGUUCUUACCUCUACCAAUGCUCAGACCAAAGAGUGAUCCUGUCGUCAGACUACAUCCUCAGACUGCCUAGACUGCACUGUUCUCAGACUGCACCUCUCUCGUCUCCUCCUGCCUAAUAUUCCUCUCUCUGCCCAGCUAUAUCACUCCAGUCUCUACUUCCUUAGUGCUGGGAUUAAAGGCUGGAAUCAAAGGUAUGAGCUAUAUUUCUCUUUUAGACAAAUUCAACCUCAUGUAGCCCAGGGUAGCUUGAACUAAUAGAGAUCCCUCUGCUUCUGUCUCCCAAGUGCUGGGAUUAAAGGUGUGUGCCAUCACUGCCUGGCCCUAUGGCUAACUAGUGUGGCUAGCUUUGCACUCUGAUCUUCAGGCAAGCUUUGUUAGAUCAUGAACAAAAUAUCACCAGAGGUAGCAAAAUUAAAGUUACACCCAUUUAUAUUAAUAAUAUAGUCAUCUUUCAAAAAAGAAAUAAUUACAUAUAGGUAUUUUGUGCUCUGAGGUUUUGCACACACAAGUUUACAAGUUAACUCUAUUUAAAAAUUUUUUUGUUUGUUUGGGUUUUUUUUUUCCUCUUUUGUAGAGGGAUACUAUUCCCCUUGUGGAAAACUUUUUUUUUUUUAAUUGUUGUUUCAUUAAAUAGAGAAAAAGGGAAGAAAAUAGUGUCCUAAUUUUUUUUCAGGUAGAUUUAGCUACUUAUAUAUUUUGGAGAACAAAUGAAUGACCAUCAAUACAUUCCAUCUACCAAAGGGUUAGGGGAUAGCUUAGAACAUGUUUGUUUCUAAUACCUUAAACCCUUUAUAAUACACAGAUUGCUCCUCCAUCAAAAACUUAAGGGAUUGUGUUCUUACCUUAUAUAUUUAUAAAAUAUAUCGCAGGCAUUUCACUUUUCUCUGUUCUUUUUCCUUGUUUGUUUGUCUGUUUGCUUGUUCUGGUGCUUGGGAGUUGAACUCAGGACCUCCAAAAGGGCUCUACUACUAAAACAUCCCAGUACCAAAAAAGAAAACUAUUGAAACUAUUUUUUAAAUUUAUUUAUUAUGUAUACAACAUUCUGCCUCCAUGUAUGCCUGUGUGCCAGAAAAGGGCACCAGAUCUCACUAUGGAUGGUUGUGAACCACCAUGUGGUUGCUGGGAAUUGAACUCAGGACCUCUGGAAGAGCAGCCAGUGCUCUUAAUCUCUGAGCCAUCUCUCCAGCCCUAUUGAAGCUAUUUUUGUGCUAAGUUUUCCUCAGCCUUAAAUUAUUAAUGUGUCCUAAGGAUCAUCCUUUAAUGAGGUUUCUUCCCACUCCCCCAUUUGCCUUUGGUGAUUCUAUUAAAUAAUACCUCUAGAAAAUUACAGUUUCAUUUACUUAGUCAUUUAGUCUUAUAUUUAGGAAUGCUUAUAUGUAAACUUUACAUAUGCAAAGUUUAAAAUGCCAUUUUUGUGUGAAUCAAUGAAGUCUAGUAUGCUAAAAUAUGGAGAAAUUUUAAAUUGUUUCUUUAGAGAAUUUGUGAAUUUUAAUAAUUAUAAGUUUUUAUGUUGAUUUUUUUUGUAUUUUCAUUCGUGGAGGUAUAAAAAUGUUAAAUGUUUAUCAAAUAGCACUAAAAAUGUAUUUGAAACCAGAUGUGGUAUCCACAUGUAUUCCCAGCUUUGUCUCAUUAAGCCAAAAAAAAAAAAAUAGCCAGGCAUGGUUGCACACACCUUUAAAGUUGGCUCUCAAGGCACAAGUAGAAUUCUGUGAGUUCAAAUACAGCCUAGGUGGUAUAGUGAGAUUUAUGUACUGAGAUAUAAACGAAGAUCAUCACAAAACCAGAUAAAAUCCCUUGCUUUCAUGGAGUUUUACAGUGCUAGUGGAUAGUGGAUGAAAACUGGGAUGAAGAAAAAAAAUGACAAUUCAGUGUUCUGUGGAAAAAGUGAAGUAGGCAAGCUAGAAGUGGUAUAAUUACUGUUAUUUCGAGGUAUAUUUUCAAAUAUACUUUUAAAAGUAUGCUUGAGGGAUGCCUCCUACAGGUGAUAUUUGAGAAUUGAACUCAGGAUCUCUGGAAGAGCAAUCAAGUGCUCUUAACCUCUGAGCCACCUCUCCAGCCCUGACAUUUGAAUAGUAAAACCAUAUAAGAUAUCCCGGAAAAGAGCCUCUGAGUAGUUGAAAUAGCAAAUGUAAAGCUUUUUGAAACUAACACAUUUGUGGUGUGUACAUGAACAGAAGAAUAUAUAAGACAAAAUGGAGAGUUAUAAUUAACAAGCAUUUUAGAAGUUGGGACUGGUGCGAUGGUUCUGUUACUAAAGCUUCCUGCAAAGCCGAGCCUGAUAGACCUGAGUGAGUUCAGUUCCCAGGACCUACCUUCUAGGUAGAAAAAGAACAAACAAGUCACCUGGCCACAUUCAAACUAUGGCCUGCAUGUGCCCCCACCACAUACUCAUAAAAUAAAACUUGUGAUAUAUUUAGAAGUCUGGUGUCACAGUAGUUGGAAGUUUUUAGCUUAAUAGAAAAUUCAGCUUUUAGUAAUACAACCUAGACAAUUGUGUUUGCCCCAGCCUGUUUGGAUUUUGCAGAUGGAAGAGAAUGUUUUUUGUUUGCUUGUUUUGUUUUAUACAUUUUAUGUGCAUUGGUGUUUUUGCUUGCUUGCAUGUAUGUGAGUGUGAGGGUGUCAGAUCCCCUGGAACUGGAGUUACAGUUUUGAGCAGGCAUGUGGUUGCUGGGAAUUGAACCUAGGUCCUCUGGAAGAGCAGCCAUUGCUCUUAACUGCUGAGCAAGGAGAGAAUGUUUUUAUUCUGACUCAAGAAUUUCUGUCUUAGCCGGGCGUUGGUGGCGUCCCCUCUGUCUAAGACCAGUAAGAGAAGAGGGUUGGUAUUUAAAUGGGUGAUUAAUCAGGUUUUUAUUAACAGUACUUUGUUGGCUCUCAAAUUGUUUUCUUCUUCAUCAGUUUAGCAACAGUCAAAGUAAAUGGUUCCAAGAAACAUUAAAUUUGUUCAUGUUUAUCAACAGCCAAAAUUUAUUCAUGUUUGUAGUCACCUUUGAUUCCUCCAAUAUUGGAAUUGCUGUUGUAGUUAAGUUCCUGGUUAUUUCUCACCCCCUUUUCAGCAGCAUCUUAACCAAGUAUUUCUUUGCAUCUAUUUUAAUCUAAAAAAAUUUAUCAUCUCCAAUAUAUACCACUGAUUUGAUUUUUCUAAAACACUGCUCUUUCCUACAAAGUGGAAUUCAAAGUCUACAUCAUGAUCUUGCGUCACCCUAAGUUGUUACAUUUUUUUCCUCAGAUGAUUAAUUCUAAGCUUUUUACUUUUAAAGCUCCCCCUCUCCCUCUCAUUAUGUGUGGGCAUGUAUACCACAGCAUCUAUGUGGACAUCAGGGGACAAACUUUGUGCCAUCAGCUCACUCCUUCAGUGUUUACAGAAGUUCCAGGGAUCAAACUCGGGUCACCAAGGAAGAGAGAAAUCCUUGAAACUUUAAAAAAUCCUUUGAGAUUAGCUCCCAGCCUGCUGCGAGUGCGUUGGUGAGGCAGCCUGCUCUUUUCCAUCAUGCCAAGCCCGCCGAAGAGUCACCGUGAGCAAGGCCUGCCCUCCCGAACUGAAGAAAUGUAUGGACAAGAAGUUAUCAUUGAAGUUAAAUGGUGGCAGACACAUACAAGCAAUACUAUGGAGCUUUGAUCCCCUUAUGGAUCUUGUGAUUAAUGAGUGUGUGGAGAUAGAUGGCAACUAGUGGGCAACAGCAUCAUCAUGUUAGAAGCCUUGAAGAGUCUAAACAAUGGCUGCUCCACAGAGGAGUUCACAUCCUUCCCCAAAGGACUGUUUGACUGGGGUGUAGAAUUGGGUCAUGUACAUUUUCAUAAGAAACUUUUUGCUAAAAAAACCUUUGUGAUACUCAGAAAAAAACAAUCAUUUGAAGUGUUGUUACCACACAGUCACUCAACUUUGGAAAUUUAUAGAAAGGGAAUUACUGUGGAGGAAUUUUAAGUGAUAAUUAAGAAUUAACUAUCAGAACUAGACAAAUACCUUCAAAGUUAGAUAAUUCUAAAAUUAGCUUUUUUUUUUUUUUCUAAAAGUUCUCAAAGCAUCCUCUUGCUCACAUGCCAGUGAGAAAGUGGGCAAAAGCAACUGAUGCCAAGCCUGACAACCUGAGUUUGAUUUCAGGGAUUCACAGGGUUCUUCUCUAACCUCCACUUUCUCACUUUUAAAAUUUUAAAUUGAAUUUCAAGUUAGAGAAAAGACCCCAAAAGUAAAGUUUUGCAAUCCUUAAUAGCAUAAGUUGUUCAAUUAGUGAUUCUUACUUUCUUAGAAGCCCCCAAAAUUUGUAAGUACUUUGUAGUUUUAUAAAUUAAUAACUUAGCCACCUUGGUGCACAUCUGUAAUCCUAGCAUUUGAAUGUACUUAGCAGGAAGAGCACAGGUUUAAGUUCGGGCUGAGUUCUGAAGAAGGAAAAUACAAUCACUAACUUGUUCUUUCUAGAAAGUGCUCUGUUGGUGUAACUGAAAAGAACUUUGCAAUGGUUUUAAAUACAAUAACUUGUUCUCUCUAGAACUUCUGUUUUAUAACUCAAGAAAACUUUCUUAAGGGUUUUAAAUGCGUGUUGCCAGGUCCAAAAGAAACUGGGCAAAAAAGGCUAGCUGUGGUGCCUAGAGCAUGUUGGGCCUGGAGAGAUGGCUAAGAGGUUAACAGCACUGGCUGCUCUUCCAGAGAUCCUGAGUUCAAUUACCAGCAACCACAUGGCGGCUCACAGCCAUCUAUAGUGAGAUCUGGUGCCCUCUUCUGGAGUGCGGGUAGAACAGUGUAUACAUAAUAAAUAAAUGAAUCUGCACUUACAAAUCAUUUUCUAAAAAAGCUUAAUUGCUGCUUUCAUUCUGCCUUUUAUAGUAAUUCUAUUACUAUGUUAAGUCCUACAUAACCUAUAGAAAUUUUCUUGGGUGUUGAUUCAGAAAGGCUACCUUACCUAUUUUGUAACUACUUUUAAUCCUGUGUAUAUGUCAUAAUAUGAUAAUAUGCUUCUGUAUUGCUCUCCUACUAGCCUGUUAGUGGAAUUAUCUUGAGCCUAGGUGUCUUAGUUCAUUUGAUGAUCAGUGUUGUAAAAAGGGCUUUUAAUUCUGUAUAUUAUCAGAAAAUAUGUUCAUUCUGUUAUUCCAUAGAAUAUAGUGAUAACAGUAUUAGUGUGGCUAGCCAAAUAAAGACAACUUGUUGAUCAGAUUGCCUGAAAAAUAUCUUUUCAGUAAAAUUAUCAGGCCUCGGCUAAGUAAAAUUUAUAGGUGACCAACAUCAUGGUUUAACUGAAAGACAAGAUGAAAUGACAAGCAUGAAACUUGUGGAACAGUAUUUCAUGUAUGGUCUAAGCCUUACAAGGAGUUCUUUAUUUUUCAUAGAAAUAGCAUAGUAGUUGGAUAAAGUUUACAGAACUAAGAGGAUCUAUGACAGUAUGUAUCUAUUUUAAUCCUUCAGAAAAGUGUUGCAGAAUAAAAUGUAUUCCCAGAUGCUCUUUCUAAAAUAUUAAAGCACCUUGAAGAUAAGGAAUGACAGUUUUUCUACCACCUCAAG